AACGCAUCUUGCGCCCGGUGGUAUUCCGCCGGGCAUGCCUGUCUGAGUGUCAUUACUAUCUCAACCCUAGGAAUGUUGUCAUGACGUUGCUCAGCGGAUUGGAACCUGGACUUGGCAGGGUUCGCCCUGCCGGUCUUAAAUGUAGUAGGCUAACCGACCAUCAGCGGUUUGACCGGGUGUUGUAGAGUCGCCUCACUCGGGACGCUGAUCGGAGUAGUUGAAUUGUAAUUGUAUUACUCGAGCGAUUUAGACCUCAGAUCAGGUAGGACUACCCGCUGAACUUAA
rnacentral:misc_RNA from 1 species